rnacentral:rRNA from 1 species
UACGUAGGGGGCAAGCGUUGUCCGGAUUUAUUGGGCGUAAAGCGCUCGCAGGUGGUUCGUCGCGUCGUGCGUGAAAGACCCCGGCUCAACUGGGGAGUGUCGUGCGAUACGGGCGGACUGGGGGCCAGUAGGGGGAUGCGGAAUUCCGGGUGUAGUGGUGGAAUGCGUAGAGAUCCGGAGGAACACCAGCGGCGAAGGCGGCAUCCUGGACUGGUCCUGACACUCAGGAGCGAAAGCGUGGGGAGCGAUCCGG